GAUGAACGCUGGCGGCGUGCCUAAUACAUGCAAGUCGAGCGAACGGACGAGAAGCUUGCUUUUCUGAUGUUAGCGGCGGACGGGUGAGUAACACGUGGAUAACCUACCUAUAAGACUGGGAUAACUUCGGGAAACCGGAGCUAAUACCGGAUAAUAUUUUGAACCGCAUGGUUCAAAAGUGAAAGACGGUCUUGCUGUCACUUAUAGAUGGAUCCGCGCUGCAUUAGCUAGUUGGUAAGGUAACGGCUUACCAAGGCAACGAUGCAUAGCCGACCUGAGAGGGUGAUCGGCCACACUAGAACUGAGACACGGUCCAGACUCCUACGGGAGGCAGCAGUAGGGAAUCUUCCGCAAUGGGCGAAAGCCUGACGGAGCAACGCCGCGUGAGUGAUGAAGGUCUUCGGAUCGUAAAACUCUGUUAUUAGGGAAAAACAUAUGUGUAAGUAACUGUGCACAUCUUGACGGUACCUAAUCAGAAAGCAACGGCUAACUACGUG
rnacentral:rRNA from 1 species